UACGUAGGAGACGAGCGUUGUCCGGAGUUACUGGGCGUAAAGAGUGCGUAGGCGGUUUUCUAAGUUUGGUGUGAAAUCUCCCGGCUUAACUGGGAGGGUGCGCCGAAAACUGGAAGGCUUGAGUAUGGGAGAGGUAAGCGGAAUUCCUGGUGUAGCGGUGAAAUGCGUAGAUAUCAGGAGGAACACCUGCGGUGUAGACGGCUUACUGGACCAUAACUGACGCUGAGGCACGAAAGCGUGGGUAGCAAACAGG
rnacentral:rRNA from 1 species